rnacentral:lncRNA from 1 species
UAGUGCUUUAUAAAGUUUAAAACUUUACUGCUAAACUCAGAAAAAAAUAUAAGGUAUGAUUCUUUCGAUUGUAUCUAUUCUUUUUGCUGGAUAUCUGGCCUCCUGUAGCAGGGGAUCUGUUUCUGCAGAAACAACUGCUGUACUUCUAGGAGGUGAAUAUG